AUAACAAUACCGGGCUUUAUGAGUCUGGUAAUUGGAAUGAGUACAAUCUAAAUCCCUUUACGAGGAUCCAUUGGAGGGCAAGUCUGGUGCCAGCAGCCGCGGUGAUUCCAGUUCCAA
rnacentral:rRNA from 1 species